GACGAACGCUGGCGGCGUGCCUAACACAUGCAAGUUGAGCGACGAACCAGGGCUUGCCCUGGGGCAAAGCAGCGAACGGGUGAGUAACACGUGGGUAACCUACCCCGAUAACCGGGACAACCCGAGGAAACUCGGGCUAAUACCGGAUGUGCUCACUGGACUUCGGUUCAGUGCGUAAAGGAAGCUUCGGCCUCCGUAUCGGGAGGGGCCCGCGGCCCAUUAGUUUGUUGGUGAGGUAACGGCUCACCGAGACCGCGAUGGGUAGCUGGUCUGAGAGGACGAUCAGCCACACUGGGACUGAGACACGGCCCAGACUCCUACGGGAGGCAGCAGUGGGGAAUCUUGCGCAAUGCGCGAAAGCGUGACGCAGCAACGCCGCGUGGGGGAAGAAGGCCUUCGGGUUGUAAACCCCUUUCAGGAGGGACGAAGGUUCGGCGGUGAAUAGCCGUCCGGACUGACGGUACCUCCACAAGAAGCCCCGGCUAACUACGUG
rnacentral:rRNA from 1 species